rnacentral:tRNA from 1 species
GGCCCCGUAGCUCAAUUUGGCAGAGCAUCGCACUCUUAAUGCGCAGGUUGAAGGUUCAAGUCCUUCCGGGGUCA